AUGAGUUGUGAUAGGGUUUGAUGCUGGCAGCCAGUUUUUUUUGGAUGCAUGUGCUCACCCUAGCAAUCAUCUUCCCAAACACCAUGUGCACAUUUUGAGGGAAUUUUGAGUAGGUCCCCACCGCUUUGGGGGGUGAUUUUCUUGUUAUUCCCUUUAAAUCAUUACACACUAUUAACAAUGUUGAACGUGCUCUGUGCCGCAAGGCCACUAAUAUAUA
rnacentral:misc_RNA from 1 species